AUCACUUCCAGCUCAAGACUGAGCGUGGGGGAAGAGCCUCGGCCACCGGAGGGGAGCAGGACGCGCUGGUCAGGGUGCACGGUGUGAAGAAAAAUCUCAAGUCAGAAGAAAGCUUUGCUGAGGCAACAUGAAGGCGUAAGACCCGAUGAAGGUAUACUGUACAGGUUUCUCCUCAGCCUGCUCAUUGAGGAAAGACCACUUGCUCACAGUGCCCAAGCAUUAUAGAAGUUCCUGGGCCAGGCAUCAAACCCGUGUCACAGCAGCAACCUAAGCUGCUGCAGUGACAAUGCUGGAUCCGCAACCUGCUGUGCCACAAGGUCCCAGAGCCACAGCCCCGAUGAAUGGAAGUCUUUAAACACUGCCGCCCAAAACAAUGUCCUCAGCCCUGUUCUGUCUCCUGUUAUUAAAAGGGCUGUUCCCAUGGCAUAUGGACGUUCGCAGGGUAAGGUCAAAUCAGAGCUACAGCUGCUGGUCCACGCCACAGCCACAGCAAUGCGGGAUCCGAGCUGCGUCUGCAACCUACACCACAGCUCACGGCAACACCGGAUCCUUAACCCACUGAGCGAGGCCAGGGAUGGAACCCACAACCUCAUGAUUCCUAGUCGGAUUCGUUUCCGCUGCAGCACAACAGGAACUCCAAGAAUUUAGAUUCUAUUCACAGCAGGGCACUUGUGUAGCAACUUACGCCUUGGAAAAAUCUUUAAAACUUGAAAAAAUAUUGAUGUUGAUACCAAAACACGUAUGGCUGUAUAAUGUAUAAUGAAAGGGAAGCUCAUUAUGAUUCCACUAACCUCAGCACUGAGUGUGGAAAAAGAGGAAUUUCUACGACAUUUGCCCAAAACAGAGGGAAGGAAUUAGAGGUAGUGACUGAUACUGGGGUCUGAAAUAACUCUUAUAUCCUCCAUUUAAACACAUUUUUUUUCUUUCUUUCUUUCUUUUUUUUUUUUUUAGGGCCUUAUCUGCGGCAUAUGGAAGUUCCCAGGCUAGGGGUUGAACCAGAGCUGCAGCUGCCAGCCUAUGCCACAGCCACAGCAAUGCAGCAUCCUUAACCCACUGAGAAAGGCCAGGGAUUGAACCCACGUCCUCAUGGAUACUAGUUGGGCUUAUUUCCACUGAGCCACAGUGGGAACUCCAACAUCUCUUAAAUAUAAUAUUUAAAUCCAAAAUACAGUAAUUUAUGGGGUUCUUUCGUGGUGCAGUGGGUUAAGGAUGUGGCAUUGUCACCAUUGUGGCUGUGAUCACUUCUGUGGCACAGGUUGCAUCCCUGGCCCAGGAACAUCCACAUGCUGCAGAUAUGGCCCAAAACCAAAACCAAAAAGCAAAAAACCGCAGUAAUUUGUGCUAAUUCCUUUCUGUUUCCAGGGAAAAAGUCUGUAAUAGGCAGAGAGCCUUUUUCAGAUGAGAAGUGGUUGCAGGGGCAUGAAGUACAGUUGUCUUGCACACUGCACAUUAGUGCCUGAGCCAGGAGAAAUGGGGCUGGAAUCCAUCACAAAUGCAGCAACCUCCCCGGUUAUCAAGAAGGAGUUUUGUGGGUUGGCUCCAGCAGUGGGUGCUUGGGAAGAUGCAGGCGAUCCCAUGUAGAGACUGAGCUAGAAAACCUAAGGUUCUCCAGAAGAUCAAAAAUCCAGAAUGGAAAUAGUCAAAGAUGGAAUGUAGGGCUGCAUUGAGGCAAAAACCACAAAGUAAGAAAUUAUCAACAACCUUCAUACAACAUCUGAUUUAUUUGCCAGGUGUUUGGGGAAACCAGUGACCUUGAGAGAUAUUUACUCGAGGGAGGCACCUGAUGUAAUAACAUCUAACAGCUUCAGUGGGAGGAUGGGUGUGGCAAUGAAGGAUUCCUGUUGGGAGGUGAUGCCAAGGGAGGAGGGACAGGCAAAGACAAGGAGUCAGGGAAGGCUUUUUACAGGAAGAAACUCUUGGGCUAGGCCUUAUAGGGUUCACUAGCUAGACAAGAAGGAAAGGCAAUUUGAUGGAGACAUAAGUAAAGUUUGGAAGCAUGGAAUUUGACAAAUUUGAGGAAGAGCAAAUAGUUUGGUGUAUCUGGAAUAUCAGACCUGACUGGAGGUAAGAUUCAGGAACUGGAGGUAUAGAGAGAAGGGUUGUUGGAUAAGGUCUCUACUUUGCCAGGAAGUUCGAAUGUGAUCCAGGAGGCAGUGAGGUUGACUAAAGCUCCCUGGUAGUUUGAAAAGAUAACUUUACAUAGGUAGAGUCAGGAGGUAGACUUCAUUGAAAGCCUUAUGGGAGUUGGAGAAGAAUAAGCUCUGUAAAAAUACAUUUAAGUAGAUUGUAUCAAAUACUGACCUAAAUUUUUGUGCAUAUCAUCUCAUUUAAUCCUUAUAACAACCCUCUAUUAGGAGGUACUAAUAGUCUAUUUUAGAUGAGGAACUGGGGCUCAGAGAGGUUAAGUAAUUUGUCCUAGGUCACACAGCAAAUGAGAGGCAGGAUAAAACCCAAAGCAGCCUGGCCCCAGUGUCUGGGCUCAAAACCAUUUUGCUAAGUUUCCUGUGUUGGGCAGUGGACCCAGUAUGCUGCUCAUGGUAAGUGCUCAGGAAAGGCUGGCACUGAACUAACCUCCCCCUGCUCUCUCAUCUCUCAAUAACUAGGCAGUCUUUUUCAUCAUCUGUUUCCCUUGACACACUUUCUAGAGGUCAGGAAGACAAACAAGAAGCACUCCCUGUUCAUUUAUUCUCUUUAGUGGGCCUUCACCUUCCACUUACAGUGAGUGAAAUGGUGUCACCAAGGCAUGUCAUGGGCCUUCAGUGAAGAAAUUUAAAUGUACAUAUUUUUAUAUUUAUACGUAGUUUUUGAUUAAUAAUUUUUUUUUAAUUGUGUGAGCUAUCUUUUGAAAGAAGCGCUUCCAACUCCCAUAGAACACUUUUGACAUGAGUCUGUAAAAUUGAUUGAGACAGUUUGCCAAAGCCGCCAGUCUAAUUAAUGACUUACUAUAACCUCCAGUUUUAUUAGGUCUAUAUUUCUAGUAUAUUGGUACAUAUAUUAAUGACUGGCCUGUGAAUAAACUGACAGUUUUCAAAUGAUACGAGAUAACUUGUUUUCUUAUGGGGAAUUCACUUGUGCCUUGAACUUAGAGUAAAAGGAUUAUCAGUUCAGUAAAUUAUGACUCCAGUGUUCUUAUGAUCACCUUAGCAAUAGGAAGGCUGUCUGGAUUUUAUUUCUUGAUGAAACUGUACUUUGGAUGAGUCUCUCUGGUUAAUCUCAUGCUCUAGGAAGUAGGACACUUGCCUUCAUAGUUAUAGACUUAUCAAGCAGAGAAACAUUCACCAGGGGUCUGCUGGUUUCCUGUAUUAGUAAUAUCCAAACCUCUACUGUAUUUUCCAAUAUCUUAAAGAAUGUGUUAAAAUAUAAGUAUAUAUUUAUAUGAAACAAAAUUAUAUUAAGCAAAUUAGUUCAAAUUCUCUUUAACAUGGAGUUCUCAUUGUGGCUGAGCAGGUUAAGAACUCAACAUAGUGUCCGUGAGAAUGUGGGUUUGAUCCCCAGCCUCACUCAGUGGGUUAAGGAUCUGGCAUUGCUGCAAGCUGCAGCAUAGGUUGAAGAUGCAGCUUGGAUCUGGUGCUGCUGUGCCUGUGGUGUUGGUCGGCAGCUGCAGCUCCAAUUUGAUCCCUAGCCUGGGAACUUCCAUAUGCCUCAGGUGUGGCUGUAAAAGAAAAAAAAUUAUCUUUAACUUUUAAUAAAAUGUAUAUAAAGCAUUUUAUAAUGGGACAGAUAUUAAUAAGAUAAACAAUAUGAAUUUCAUAAAAACAACAAAAAGUAGUUGGAUAGAUAGUCUACUGUCUAAUUGGAAACAAUUUACAUCAUUCCCCCAAAAGGGGACACCACAUAAUCCAAGCUUUUUAUGUGUAUACUGCACGGGCAAAGUUUGGUUAAGAUAUAGUGGUAGAAACAAAAAUCACUGAGUUACUCUGAGUUGCCAUGUUUUCCAGCCCUCUCUUUCCAAAUUCACUGUCUUUUUGAAAGGGAAACUUUGAAAUUAAUGUGACAACUUAUGUGAAAAUCAUAUACAGAGCUGAAAUUUUUCAUUUGCAAUUAACCCAGACAGUCUGAACCGGGCCUACAGUAAGUCCGUCAAAGAUUUAGGGGUUACGAUGUGCUUGAGGGUUAUUCCCAAAGGCAUAGGAUAAUGCAAGGCUGAUUUUCCAUAGUGCUAACAAAGGAUAGCUGCUAUUUGUUUCUCAGUUGGAGUGGACGCCACCAUGUGGCAAUAGCAUAAACACAGAUUACAAAUCACACAACCAGCCUGCUUCAAAAGGAGAUACUUGAGGUUUUUUUUUUUUUUAUUUGAGAUUAUGUGCCUUGUUGAAAAUGUUAUACAUGAGAAGACAUUCAACUUAUAUUUUUAUACUAUAUAAUUUCAAAUUAGUUUUUUUCAAAAUCACAUAUAAAAAUAUGAAAGUGGAGUUCCCGUCGUGGCGCAGUGGUUAACGAAUCCGACUAGGAACCAUGAGCUUGCGGGUUCGGUCCCUGCCCUUGCUCAGUGGGUUAACGAUCCGGCGUUGCCGUGAGCUGUGGUGUAGGUUGCAGACGCGGCUCGGAUCCCGCGUUGCUGUGGCUCUGGCGUAGACCGGUGGCUACAGCUCCGAUUCAACCCCUAGCCUGGGAACCUCCAUAUGCCGCGGGAGCGGCCCAAGAGAUAGCAACAACAACAACAACAAAAGACGAAAGACAAAAAAAAAGACAAAAAAAAA
rnacentral:lncRNA from 1 species